UGUGCAGCAGGACUCCAACCAGGAGGGGCCCCUGCCUUGGCAGAAGGGAGAGCGUGAAGACGCAGGUGUGUUCAGCACAGGUGGCCUCUGACCUGCAUCCCAAAGCCCAGCUGCUCCCCUUCAGCCGUGCCCUCGGGAAGGGGGCAGCAUGUGGGGCAGGAGGAGGGGGAGGAGGAGGAAAGAGCCUCACUUGUCCAGGAGAAGAUGUUGACCUGCCCGCGGCUGCAAUGCACAAGUCUCUCUCUCUGCCACCUGCACUUUGGUCCCCAGGUGAGUUGGCAAUAAGGACGCUGCUGUCACCCAGGUGAGGCAAUGGGGACCUGGCUGAGCUCUCCUCCGGGCUCCAGGAAACUUAAAAAGUCAAGCCCAGCGGCUCCCAAACUCUGUGUGCCCAGAGGCACCCUCAGAUUUAUUUAUUUUGACCCCCAGCCAGGGCACUAGAGCUAAUCGCUCCAUCCCCAGCAACCAGCCUUGCUGGCCCUCGGCUCCUUCCCCUUGGCCCUCGUCCCAGUUCCGCCCUACCCUCUCAGCCCACGAGACAAAGGUUGGGGUGCCAGGAUCGAUUGGCCUGCCUGCCCGCCUCCCUCCUCCAAGCUCCCUCAGACGGAGACCUUUGCCCAUCCACCUUGUGACUGGCAGCGGCACCAGUGCCUCUCCAGGGAGGAAUUCCCUGCCUCGCCGGGAGAUGCUGCCCUGGGGGCUUGGCAGCUGGGCCCUUCUGCAUGCCAGGAGGGUAAAACAAGAAAUACAUGAGCAUAAAUAAAGUGUUUCUGAGCCGCAGUGCUGGGCAGAGCAGGGGUGGCCAUGAUCCCAGAAGCAGAAGAGCACCAACUUGGACCUUUUCCUCUCAGCUGCCAAUGGGCCACCUGACCUGAUAAAGGACAGACAGAAAAAUAAUACUGUAUACUCACCAUAUUGGCACAAGAGACUGGAUGAGCAGAACUGAGCUGACAUAACUGUAAUGCCAAAAGGAACGUAAAAUAUUUGCUCCGAGAGGAAAAGGCAGACAAUACACUGACACCUUGACUGACAGCUGACAGGUCAUGGCCUCAAAGGUCUGUCUGUCACUCCACCUGUUUUAAGGUGAAGAAUAAGGUUUGAAUGAAGCUUCUCUGAAAUGAAUUGUGGAGGGGAAAUGUAACUUCUAAAAGGAGUUACAUGCCUUUGUUUGGGGCUUAUUCUUUCCUGGCUUAGAGGUUGAAAUCUUAUCGCAAGAAUUAAGACAAGGCUUAAUAGCUGCUUCUUGCUUUCCU